rnacentral:rRNA from 2 species
CGAGCUGGGUUUAGAACGUCGUGAGACAGUUCGGUCCCUAUCUGCCGUGGGCGUUGGAAAUUUGAGAGGAGCUGCUCCUAGUACGAGAGGACCGGAGUGGACGUACCCCUGGUGUUCGGGUUGUCAUGCCAAUGGCAUUGCCCGGUAGCUAUGUACGGACGGGAUAACCGCUGAAAGCAUCUAAGCGGGAAGCCCCCCUCAAGAUUAGAUUUCCCCGAGCUUUAAGCUCCUGAAGGGCCGUAGAAGACCACUACGUUGAUAGGUUGGGUGUGGAAGUGCAGUAAUGUAUGAAGCUAACCAAUACUAAUUGCCCGUGAGGCUUGACCAUAUAACCCCAAGUAAGUUGGG